GGUCGUGGCCUCCCCCUUUUUUUGGCAAAAAUUAUCCAUCUUUGGAUACUAAAUGGCAAAAUGCUGCAACUUCAUUGCAGCUGGGAAAUGAAGUGUAAAGUGGGGAUCCCCGCUAAUGCCUUGGAGCACCUCAUCCUUAACAUAAAUAUGCAGUAAUGAAAAUAUAUUCACUCUGCCAGGAGAAAGGUUGAUUUCAAUUUCACCACCCUUAGUCCAACUUUGCUGCCCAGCAGUGAGUUUGAUUAUGAAAGGUAAAGAGUUCAUUGCUGUUACUGUAUUUUGUAUUUUUAGUAGCACCUUUUCCUUGUAUUAGGUUUCCUUUGAGAUCUCUCUGGCCUACUUAUGCUAAAAGCCUUAUUUCAUCUAAUAUACAAUUAAUAAGGCAUGCUUAGGUCUAGUGAAAGGUUUACAAAACUUUGUUCCAUAUUACUUUCCCCUUUUCUGGCCUUCUACAGUUAAUACUUACUUUUUGAUCAGCAUUUUGUUAAUAUCUAACCAUGCCUUGGACUCUUAUACACUACUGAAAUGUCUACAGGUAUCCCCCUCAGCUUUCCAAACGUGAAAAACAUCUGCCUAGCUAAAAGCAGAUAGGUAAAGAGUGGGAGGAGGGGGUUUUUUGCCCCCCCCCCCCCUCCAAAAAAGAAAAAAGGUAAAAAAAAUUGCAGAAACUCAAGGGACUGAAUAGGGAAUACAAGCUUGCAGGGAGAAAGUAUUGGAGGAAAGAAUAAAAACUGGGAAACGGGUGUGUGAGCAGUCAAGAGUAUUUAGAUGUGGGUAUCUGGGCAAGGAGGUGUGAGGAAGUGUGGGCUUACUCUGGAAGAAGAAGAAAAAGCAAGCUGGAAAUACAGCAAGAAACAGAGAGAACAGAAUAUGGAGGAGACACUAACAACAGGUUUAAAAAAAACCACUCCUUUUGUUUCUGGGCAGAGCUUCCAUGGGAAAUAUUUGCAUGCAAAUCUUGGUUCAUGUAAUCCAACCAUGGGUGGUAGGAGACAAACAAAGCUAAAUCACAGAAAGUUCAUGCAGUGAUUUUAAACACCACUUCAUAAUUUUUGAGCACUUACUUUUGCCAUCUCAGAAUUCUUCCUACUUAGUGUUUCAUCUGUGAAAACAAAAAGAGCAAGAGAAUACAGAUACUUUUCAUUAGACUGAUCAGCUGAGCAACUCAUAGCUUCUAACUCGCUUUUCUACAAAAUUCAUAUUGUGAUUUUGGCUUCAUAUAUGAACAAAGUCAGUUAUACAAGCAGUUUCAAUGAUUUCCUUCAGGACUCAAUUACAAAAAUAUCUGUAAAUUUGAGGGUUUUGUUAAAAAUUCUUCAAAUGAGGCUGCAUUAGUAAGACUAAUGAGAACUCCUCUCUGACAAAGAAGAUGUGAUAUCAACAAGGCUUCCUUCAGAGGUGCCAGCAUGUUGGAUACUUGACCCUUCAAGAGCAAUUAAGACCUGUUGCAAGAUGAAGCUUUGCAUGAAGGUAGCCAGAGGACAGACCUGUCCCUAGGCAAUGAAAUAAGUCUUCCCUGUGAUGUCUGGGCAAGGGAACUCAGUGUCGUGUCAGUGAAAUUCAACAAAAGGCAUGAGCACAGAACGACUUAAAAGGUAGAUCCAUGCUGUGAUUAACCUGAAAAGACACCUGUGAUUCCAAAAAAAAGCAUGCAAAAAGAUCACCUCAGAAAAUGUUUCUAAAACACCAACACCACCCAGUUAUGUAGAUUUACACUGAAAAGGUAAAUCAUCAGAGUAUGCUCCUUCUUCACCUUGAUUUGAAGAUGAGCUACUUCCUGAGACUGGCACAGGGAGUAGCUCCCUCCCUACUCUGAGGAGUCACAGAACCAGGGGCUUCUUUCUUUGCUCUGCUGAGAUGAUAAACUACUGUUCUGGACCUAACUAUGCAGCGGACUCACGUAGUCAUGAACAAGGAUUUUAUCAGCUCCUUCAGAAGAAAAUGAAACAGAAGCAGUAAAAUAAGAGCUAAGUUGU